GCUAUACAUGCAAGUCGAGCGAAUGGAUUAAGAGCUUGCUCUUAUGAAGUUAGCGGCGGACGGGUGAGUAACACGUGGGUAACCUGCCCAUAAGACUGGGAUAACUCCGGGAAACCGGGGCUAAUACCGGAUAACAUUUUGAACCGCAUGGUUCGAAAUUGAAAGGCGGCUUCGGCUGUCACUUAUGGAUGGACCCGCGUCGCAUUAGCUAGUUGGUGAGGUAACGGCUCACCAAGGCAACGAUGCGUAGCCGACCUGAGAGGGUGAUCGGCCACACUGGGACUGAGACACGGCCCAGACUCCUACGGGAGGCAGCAGUAGGGAAUCUUCCGCAAUGGACGAAAGUCUGACGGAGCAACGCCGCGUGAGUGAUGAAGGCUUUCGGGUCGUAAAACUCUGUUGUUAGGGAAGAACAAGUGCUAGUUGAAUAAGCUGGCACCUUGACGGUACCUAACCAGAAAGCCACGGCUAACUACGUGCCAGCAGCCGCGGUAAUACGUAGGUGGCAAGCGUUAUCCGGAAUUAUUGGGCGUAAAGCGCGCGCAGGUGGUUUCUUAAGUCUGAUGUGAAAGCCCACGGCUCAACCGUGGAGGGUCAUUGGAAACUGGGAGACUUGAGUGCAGAAGAGGAAAGUGGAAUUCCAUGUGUAGCGGUGAAAUGCGUAGAGAUAUGGAGGAACACCAGUGGCGAAGGCGACUUUCUGGUCUGUAACUGACACUGAGGCGCGAAAG
rnacentral:rRNA from 1 species